rfam:Flavobacterium spartansii strain MST NODE_3_length_580379_cov_49.0781, whole genome shotgun sequence.
UUUUAGCCCGGAUGGAAGCAGCAUCCUUUUGUGUCCGCCUCGGCCGACACAAAAGAUAUAGCAAACAGCAGGAUAAGCU